rnacentral:lncRNA from 1 species
AAGGACGCUUUAUAUAAUAAUUAACGACGCUUUAAAUAGUCGGGAAAAAUAACACCGACGUUUUUAAAAGCGUCGGAUAAAGAGUCGUUAAAUAAACAUGUCGGAAAAAAUAACAAUUAGCGAUGCUUUAAAUAGUCGGGACAAAUAACACCGACGCUUUUAAAAGCGUCGGAUAAAGAGUCGUUAAAUAAACAUGUCGGAAUAUAUAUACCGACGCUAGCGUCGGGAAACUUUUUUUCGAUUCUUUUCAGAGUCGGUAAUGUGUUAGGUGCCGACUCUAAAAAGAGUCGUUAAUUUAAACAAAUGCCGACAUUCCAAAGUAUCGGUAAAUUAUAAAAUACCAACAUAUUAUCAACUCUAAAAAAAGUUGUUAAUUUAAACAAUUGCCGACACUCCAAAGCAUCGGUAAAUUAUAAAAUUCCAACAUAUCACAGACUCUAAAAAAGUCGUUAAUUUAAACAAAUACCGAUACUCCAAAGAAUCGGUAAAUUAUGAAAUACCAAAUAAACACGCUAAUACGAAAACUUUGCAUUAAUGAACAAAAAUAUUAAAAUAUUUCAAUAUUAAUAAACUUCAAUCAACAAUGCUAAUCCCAAUCAAGAAAUAAAAAAUUCUCUACUAUUGCAUAAGCAGGGAAUAAUAGGCAUAAAGAAAAAUUUCAUCACUUUUUUAUUCACAGUGAAUUAUUAAUCGUAUAGCGUAUAUAGUGUUUUCAGUUUAAACGAAUGCCCUCUGGUAAUGUAUAUGUAGCUGCAGACAAAAUGUGAUGAAAAGAGUUAUAUGAGCAGAGCUCAACUGUUUCAGGAUUCCCACCAAAAUAAUAUAUGUCAGACAAUAUUCAUCCUACAAUAGCAAACAAAAAUUAAAAUUAGUACAAAUACUCAAUUCACCAAUCUUAUAUCGUUGUAGAUAGAAUGUGAGGAAUAAAGAGUUUGUGAUUAAAGCUCUAGAUAGUUAGGU